CCUACGGGUGGCUGCAGUCGAGAAUCAUUCACAAUGGGGGAAACCCUGAUGGUGCGACGCCGCGUGGGGGAAUGAAGGUCUUCGGAUUGUAAACCCCUGUCAUGUGGGAGCAAAUUAAAAAGAUAGUACCACAAGAGGAAGAGACGUCUAACUCUGUGCCAGCAGCCGCGGUAAUACAGAGGUCUCAAGCGUUGUUCGGAAGCACUGGGCGUAAAGCGUGCGUAGGCUGUUUCGUAAGUCGUGUGUGAAAGGCGCGGGCUCAACCCGCGGACGGCACAUGAUACUGCGAGACUAGAGUAAGGGAGGGGGAACCGGAAUUCUCGGUGUAGCAGUGAAAUGCGUAGAUAUCGAGAGGAACACUCGUGGUGAAGGCGGGUUCCUGGACAUUAACUGACGCUGAGGCACGAAGGCCAGGGGAGCGAAAGGGAUUAGAUACCCCUGUAGUC
rnacentral:rRNA from 1 species